rnacentral:rRNA from 1 species
GACGAACGCUGGCGGCGUGCUUAACACAUGCAAGUCGAACGAGACGAUUGAAAGCUUGCUUUCGAAAGUCGAGUGGCAAACGGGUGAGUAACGCGUAGACAACCUGCCUUUGAGAUGGGGACAACAGUUCGAAAGGACUGCUAAUACCAAAUGUUGUAUAUUUUCCACAUGGAAGAUAUAUUAAAGAUGGCCUCUAUUUAUAAGCUAUCGCUAAAAGAUGGGUCUGCGGCUGAUUAGCUGGUUGGUGGGGUAAAGGCCUACCAAGGCGACGAUCAGUAGGCGGUCUGAGAGGAUGAACGGCCACAUUGGGACUGAGACCCGGCCCAGACUCCUACGGGAGGCAGCAGUGGGGAAUCUUCCACAAUGGACGAAAGUCUGAUGGAGCAACGCCGCGGGAGUGAAGAAGGGUUUCGGCUCGUAAAGCUCUGUUGUCGGGGACGAAUGUGCAGUAUUUGAAUAAAGUACUGCAAUGACGGUACCUGACGAGGAAGCCACGGCUAACUACGUGCCAGCCGCCGCCGUAA